CGCGGAGCAGAAGCCCUCCACAGGGGCGCUCGUGCUGGAGACGGCGGCGAGGUGAGCACGAAGGAGUUGCAGCCUUGAGGCACCUCCACCUCGCGCCCCACCCCAUCUCUCACCCAAUCUCCUCCCUCUCCACUCCACAUCGUGGUAGAGCCGCCGCCACCACGCCAUAUCCUCGUCGAGCCACCACCCCAUGUAGUGGUCGACCUUGUCGCGUUGCCGUCGCCGUCGCCUGGAGGGAGCAUAGGCGGCCGCUCGCACCACCACCGCGGGAUGUCGCCAUUACCGGGAGGAGGUUUGCGGAAGGGGAAUCGGCAGAUUGAUGCGGGGGAUUAAGCAAAGAGUGAACGAGGGUGGCCUCGGGCCGCCAGCGAGCUCGCCCUCUCGUCCUCAUGGGGGACGCUGUCGUCCGGGCAACGUCUUCCUGUGCGGUCUCCGGCUCUAUCGGGAGAUUUAGGAUGACGGUCUACGCGGCCUUCGCUCUUCGGUACUGUCGGGAGAUUGAGGCGGACGGUCUACGCGGCCUCCGGCACUGUCGGGAGAUUGGGGAGGAUGGUCGUCCAGCUCAGAGAUCCGGCCUCCUCAUCUCCAUCCACAUCACCAGGACGCGCACCUAUAGCUUGACCCUUACACCGUCCUCUGAAGUGCUUCUCCCAGAUAUGGCUCAACACUGUUGAUUCAACAGGGCUUGGUGAUGCGGCUCCGGCACAGGCUGUAUGGCCUUGUUUUCCAAGAUUGAUAUGUCAUCGGAGACGGUACAUCUGAUGAGUAUUAGGAUGGUGUUGUGCGAGUCUUUUUAAUUUUUUCCUCCUGAGUACUGUACAAAUAUGAGAGAUAUUCAUGCAUCUCAUAUUGUGGAAGAAUACCUUGAUUCGCUGACUAGAUGAGCAAGGUAACCAAGCUGAGGAGAGACCUGUUGAUUUGGACUUGCGGGAGCGUGUCUCAGAUGGCUACAUUAUCGGGGUUUUCGGAUUUCCUCUUCAUAUGUUAUUCUAUAGUCGAGCUGAUUGAAGUGUACUGUUGCAACUUGUGUGUAUGUGUUUACCAAUGCUGCAGUAGGUAAAUGAAUUUUAAUGGGCAUACACAUUAGAAGAAAUCAAUGUGUUUCACGAUGAAAUAUGAUUUACAAGUGCAUGAGGAAGGACAUUUUCUUUAAACUUACUGUUUGCAAAUUCUCAGAUAGGGAUUUAUAUGUACACAGACUUAGUAGGUUCAGUCUCUUCACAUUCAUUUUAUCAUAUUGCGGAUGCCACCAUCCCAAAUGAUUUUUUCACCAGAAAUUCAUGGAUAUACAGUUUGUGAUGUGUUCUCUGCUCCAUUGACUGUGACCACUGGCCCCUCAGCUUGCAGAUGCCGCCGUCAUUGCUUGGUUGGGAUGGACGCCACGAGAUUUGGUGUGGUCGAGCACCAUCGAGGGCCUAUCAUCAGCAAUCAAUUACGCUUCGCAACACAUUUUUGGUUAAAAUGGUAGUGAUGUUUCAAAUAUGACCUUGCUGCAUCUGGUCCUUCCAAAGGUACGUACAUAACUUUUAUUACUGCCUCCAUUAGGGAGUAUAUAUUAUUCCUACCCCCUUCUCUUCCAGUGCUCUCACAUUCCUUGAAAACCUAUACCACUGCAGUAUGUCCAACUGAUAAUUGGAACAGUUAGUUAGGUAUGUCCAACUGAUAAUUGGAACAGUUAGUUAGGUAUGUUCAACUGAUGAUUGGAAGGGUUUCUGUAGAUAUGUCCAUCUGAUUUUUGUUGAAAGAAGAUUUUAUUUGUAAUUCCGUUGGGGAGUCACUUUCUUUCGAUAUGUUGGCAAAUGCCCAACAUCUUGGGCUGGCAAUAAUCCCAAAGAUUUUGUCAUCUUUGUCUAUUUUUUUUAUCUAGACCUAACUUCCAAAGGUACCUACACUCAUCUUUUUUCAUAUUAUUCCGAUCCCCUUCUCUUCCAGUGCCCUUACAUUCGUACAUGUUUUGCUUAGAAGGAGCUGACUUGCCUGAUCGAUCAUCAUGAACGUGUGUCACAUGAAGUAUUUAUUUCCUUGAAUUGUUUACCAUGAUCUUAUUUGUAAUGGGCCACUGUCUAUUUCGGUAACACAGAAGGCAUUGUUAUUAUUCUUUAUCUUGAUCAAGCAAAAGGAUGUAGUUCUAUGAUUCCUGGAGUGGGUAAAUUGCUUAUGGUUCAGGUACAUCUUGAUCGAUACCUAAAUAUUUAGUUAUUCGAGUCUCUUCAAUGGAUUUAACAUGGUCAUACCUCUUCUCUUGCGGGAUGCUUUUAUCAUUCUAGAUUUGGCAUGAAAUCAGUUAUAUUAGCUUAUUUCUGCUCUGUUCUGCUAUUCAAUUAUAUGAUUUUUAUAAUUUAGCUUUCAUACAUUUUUUACUCAAACAAACUUAUUUACAUAGGUAAUGACACUGUUAAAUUGACACUCAAACCAAGUUUAAUAUAAAUUUACGUGUGCAAGAUUGAUUAUAUAUCAUAGAUUUUUUUUGAAUGAACUAACAGCCUAUAUAAAUUGAUCACAUAAAUUAAAUUUACGUAUGAAAAGUCAUAGUUCAUAAGCAGUUAACCAUGCAGUUGUCCAUUAUUCUGCACUAAGGUGGCAUAAGAACUUUCAUAAAUUAUUAAGUCACACUUUUGCAGUAGCACCUUCAACCUACAAAAUAAAACUUAAAAGCUGCAUAUGAGCACACAGAUUACGAGUCAAAUAUGCAUCAUAUCUAAGCUCAAUAUUGCAAACACUGAAGAAAGACAGAAGGAUAAUUUACCAUAUACUUCUUCUCUUAUUGGUUGAUUAUUUAUAGUUCAUAAAAAUUACACUGAAGAAGAAAAUUGUUAUUUGGAAAAUUCCCCACCUCCACAGUCCACACACAGUGCCAUUGAUUUCCCUUUCACAUCUCCAUAUUCUUAAUGGACAUUCCAUUGUAUGGUUAUGCGAACUCCAGUGUGAAUCUUGGAGUAAUAUCUGUGUAAGGGGUGUGCUAUAUUGGAAAACACUGCUAAACCUGCCUUGUCCUUUUUUUUACAUAAACCUGCAAAAAAAUUCUUUCAGUUUUUUCAUGAGUUCACCUUGAUGCAGAUGACCGUCUACCUUUUGUCUGAUCUCUAAAUUGGUAAUUAGUUGUUGGCACAUUUACGAGUACAUGUCACGCCUAUGUCACCAUCACACUCAAACAGAUAAUCGAAACAUCUGGCAGAUGAGUCUGGUUUUCCUCCACAGAAAGGCUACACCCACAUAGGCUAGAAAUUUCUGUA